rnacentral:sRNA from 1 species
ACUGGGUGUGAGGGCUCAUGCCUGUAAUUCCAGAGGCUCUGGAGGCUGAGGCAGGAGGAUUUCAAGUUCAAGGAUAUUCUCAUCAAAUUUAGUGAGACCAUCAGCAAUUUAGUGAGACCCUGUCUCAA